CAGUCGCCGCGGUAAUACGAAGGGGGCUAGCGUUGUUCGGAUUUACUGGGCGUAAAGGGCGCGUAGGCGGACUGAUAAGUCAGGGGUGAAAUCCCAAGGCUCAACCUUGGAACUGCCUUUGAUACUGUUUGUCUUGAGUUCGAGAGAGGUAAGUGGAACUGCGAGUGUAGAGGUGAAAUUCGUAGAUAUUCGCAAGAACACCAGUGGCGAAGGCGGCUUACUGGCUCGAAACUGACGCUGAGGCGCGAAAGCGUGGGGAGUAAACAGGAUUAGAUACCCCCGUAGUCCCUGUCUCUUAUAC
rnacentral:rRNA from 1 species